AUUGAACGCUGGCGGCAGGCCUAACACAUGCAAGUCGAGCGGUAGCACAGAGAGCUUGCUCUCGGGUGACGAGCGGCGGACGGGUGAGUAAUGUCUGGGAAACUGCCUGAUGGAGGGGGAUAACUACUGGAAACGGUAGCUAAUACCGCAUAACGUCGCAAGACCAAAGUGGGGGACCUUCGGGCCUCAUGCCAUCAGAUGUGCCCAGAUGGGAUUAGCUAGUAGGUGGGGUAACGGCUCACCUAGGCGACGAUCCCUAGCUGGUCUGAGAGGAUGACCAGCCACACUGGAACUGAGACACGGUCCAGACUCCUACGGGAGGCAGCAGUGGGGAAUAUUGCACAAUGGGCGCAAGCCUGAUGCAGCCAUGCCGCGUGUGUGAAGAAGGCCUUCGGGUUGUAAAGCACUUUCAGCGGGGAGGAAGGCGUUAAGGUUAAUAACCUUGGCGAUUGACGUUACCCGCAGAAGAAGCACCGGCUAACUCCGUGCCAGCAGCCGCGGUAAUACGGAGGGUGCAAGCGUUAAUCGGAAUUACUGGGCGUAAAGCGCACGCAGGCGGUCUGUCAAGUCGGAUGUGAAAUCCCCGGGCUCAACCUGGGAACUGCAUUCGAAACUGGCAGGCUAGAGUCUUGUAGAGGGGGGUAGAAUUCCAGGUGUAGCGGUGAAAUGCGUAGAGAUCUGGAGGAAUACCGGUGGCGAAGGCGGCCCCCUGGACAAAGACUGACGCUCAGGUGCGAAAGCGUGGGGAGCAAACAGGAUUAGAUACCCUGGUAGUCCACGCCGUAAACGAUGUCGAUUUGGAGGUUGUGCCCUUGAGGCGUGGCUUCCGGAGCUAACGCGUUAAAUCGACCGCCUGGGGAGUACGGCCGCAAGGUUAAAACUCAAAUGAAUUGACGGGGGCCCGCACAAGCGGUGGAGCAUGUGGUUUAAUUCGAUGCAACGCGAAGAACCUUACCUGGUCUUGACAUCCACAGAACUUAGCAGAGAUGCUUUGGUGCCUUCGGGAACUGUGAGACAGGUGCUGCAUGGCUGUCGUCAGCUCGUGUUGUGAAAUGUUGGGUUAAGUCCCGCAACGAGCGCAACCCUUAUCCUUUGUUGCCAGCGGUUAGGCCGGGAACUCAAAGGAGACUGCCAGUGAUAAACUGGAGGAAGGUGGGGAUGACGUCAAGUCAUCAUGGCCCUUACGACCAGGGCUACACACGUGCUACAAUGGCAUAUACAAAGAGAAGCGACCUCGCGAGAGCAAGCGGACCUCAUAAAGUAUGUCGUAGUCCGGAUUGGAGUCUGCAACUCGACUCCAUGAAGUCGGAAUCGCUAGUAAUCGUAGAUCAGAAUGCUACGGUGAAUACGUUCCCGGGCCUUGUACACACCGCCCGUCACACCAUGGGAGUGGGUUGCAAAAGAAGUAGGUAGCUUAACCUUCGGGAGGGCGCUUACCACUUUGUGAUUCAUGACUGGGGUGA
rnacentral:rRNA from 1 species